rnacentral:misc_RNA from 1 species
AACUUUUGGCAAUGGAUCUCUUGGUUCUCCCAUCGAUGAAGAACGCAGCGAAAUGCGAUAAGUAGUGUGAAUUGCAGAAUUCAGUGAAUCAUCGAAUCUUUGAACGCACCUUGCGCCCCUUGGUUAUUCCGAGGGGCAUGCCUGUUUGAGUAUCAUGAACACCUCAACUCUCAUGGUUUGCCAUGAUGAGCUUGGACUCUGGGGGUUUUGCUGGCCUGUGGUCAGCUCCCCUCAAAUGGAUCAGCCUCCCAGUGUUUGGUGGCAUCACGGGUGUGAUAAAUAUCUACACUCGCUGUUGUCUGCCAGGUAACCUUUGGUCACAAAGGUUUGCUGGAGCUCACAGAUGUCUCUCCUCAGCGAGGACAGCUUUUUUAACGUUCGAUCUCAAAUCAGGUAGGACUACCCGCUGAACUUAAGCAUAUCAAUAAGCGGAGGCU